ensembl:lincRNA
AUUAAAUCGUAUUUUAGAAUCAUCUAUCUAGCCACAAUAUGGAGAAAUGGAUUGGAGAGAUCAAGGCUCAAGUGAGGCAGAGCAAAUAAAAGGGCAGACAGAAAGCAGCAGGUAAUGCGCCUUAUAUAGAUAGCUUCAUUAAUGGUGUACCUAAGUCAACAGGGAAGAAAGUUCCUUGGUGGAAGGCACUAAGGAAGAAUACUACCUCAAGGCUUCAAGUGAUUGGUGGAGACAGGUACACUGAAGGAAGGACAGCUAUGUCAAGUGUUGAAGGACUUGCAAUUUUUCCCUCCCAAAUCCUCAGUAGUACAAAGAGGGAGAAGAGCCAAACAGCUGGACUGAUUCAUAGUUGGGGUUACUUACGCUGGUGACUGACUGAAACAGCGUCGCAUUAAGUAUUAAGAGAAAAGGCACAGAAAACCAAUGCAAGGACCACUAGAGACCAGAGAGCCGACUUCCGGGUUCCGGUUCCGGUUCCGGUUGGGCGGUGAGAAGCCCGCUAGGAGCUCGAACGUUGUCUUUGCUGUUGCCCGCGCACAGACGAAAAGCCGAACAAACUGAACCUCAGCACCUCUUCCUAGGCCAGUCAGAGGAGUCACAGGGCAACUCUUGCCCUCCCCCCCGCCCGACCCCCCUGACCCCCGCCAAAGGAGAGACACAUCCUUUCACAGAUACAUAGAAACCUACACAGGAACCGGUACCGGGUCACCCCAGGUAGCUGUCUCAUCGCAUCAGUUCUCUGUAGAUUCUCACUGCAUGGAGUGAAGAAGAAAUCACUGGAUCAGAUUAUACCUGCACAAAAUUUUCAGAAAAGAGAGAAAUACAUAUUUGGGGGUGCAGUCUUGGGAUGCUUCUUGAACGAGAUCUUACAGAGAGUCUGUCCUUUCAGACCCAUUGUGUCAAUCCAUUUCACAAAUUCCUCAGGAACCAGGCAGAAAAAGACUCUCUCUUCUCAGGGUAAUGGGAAGGGCUGUAUUGGUGAUCACAGUGUGCCUGGCUCAAGCUGGAGGGGGAAGUGGGGCAGGAGAAUUUCAGUGGCCUCUACUUGCUGGGGAGAUUUGGGGAUGAUACACCUUGUUUGAGCAUCAGUAACAGGGAACCAUGAGAGGUUUGGAGCAGCUCUCAGUUUUCUUUGGAUACUGCUCUUUACUACGAGAUAAAAGCAAUGUUAAAAAGAAGCUCCCUGUGAAAGAUCAAGAGUGGCAUUUAAUCAUUUAAUCAGCAGUUAUUUAUUAGUAGCCUCUUCUGUGUGUGAAAUUGUGUAGGCUCUGGAGAAUACAAUGAUAAAGCUCCUUUCCUGAGGGGCUACACUGAUUGGCAGAGGAAUAGGAGGAAAGCAAGCAAGGGUACCAUCUGACAUGGAGUCAGCAUUUAGUAAAAUUUGCUUAAAUGAAUGAAUGAGGAAGAAAGUGUUAGGGAUGUAUUAGUUUCAGAGGGCUGCCUUAUCAAAAAGUUCCACAAAUGGGAUGACUUAAAAACCACAGAAAUUAAUUUUCUCACAGUUUCAUAGGCUAGAAUCUUGCAGUCAAGAUACGGGCAAGGCCAUCAUCCUCCUGAAAGCUCUAGAGAAGGAUUGUUCUUUGACUCUUCCUAGCUUCAUUCUGGUAGUUGCCGACAGUCCUUGGUUGGCUGAUAGAUGCAUCAUUCCUGUCUUUUCUCUGUCAUCGUGUAAUGAUCUCCCUGUAUAUCUAUGUUUAAAUUUCUUUCUUUUUAAAUAGAUGCUAGUCAUUGGAUUAGGGCCCAUUUUAAACUGGUAUGAGUUCAUCUUAAUUUGAUUACAUCUGCAAAGACUAUUUGCAAAUAAGUUCACGUUCACAGAUAAUAGGCAUUAGAACAUGAACAUAUCUUUCAGGAGGCCAUGACUCAGUCCAUAACAAGGGGCUCUGAAAAAAUUUUAUAGAGGACAGAACCUCUCCCCUGCCCCUGCUGUGUGUGUGUGUGUUUGUGCACGCACACAUGCACAUGUGUCUGUGUGUGUGUGUGUGUGUGUGUGUGUUUAUGCAGAUGGGAGGGCAGGGGACAACUUCUAAGAGAAGAUGCAGCUUAGUUGACAUCUGAAAAAUAAGUAAGUUAUCCCAGGAAAUGAUGAGUAAGGCAGGCAUUGCUGGUAGUGGGAAGCAUCUGAGAGGCUGUAUCUAGCAACCUCACUGUGAAUACUGAGCUUCAGCCCAAGAAGUCAUUAGUGUGUGGAAAAAAAAAAAAAAACUAACCCACAUUCUAUUGUUCUUUAUUGUUUCAGCUGAUCCUUUUAUGCCUGAUUAUAUAUUUAGUUUUUUCACAUCUAGCAUUCUGUAUGUGAUGUUUAUGGUGAUGUUUUGGCAUGAACUUUUAUGAAGCUCAUGUUCCAAGCCCUUGGUACUCUGCCUCAAGUUCUGAGAAUCAGAAAUGACAAUGAUUACACCAUGCUAAUAAUGAAGAAACUUUCAUGUUGAAAAAAUCGAUAUUACUUUGUUUCAUUGUUACUUAUUAGUAAUUGUGCCAAACUAAAAUGAAUUGUCGUUUGGUUUCAAGUGAGAACACUAAAAAUGAAUCACAAGUACAGACACACAAGGUAAAGUACAAAAUACUGCAACAACAUCAAUUAAGUGCCUAAUAUGGUUUGUAAUUAUGAUUUUGAAUACCUGUUAAUCUUCAUGAUGGACUUCAAACAUCUUUGAUUUGAAUGGUCAUGUUUUUGGUUAAUGAGAGAUUAUUAAUGUUGCUAUAAAUUCUGCAUGUAAAAUAUAUAGGUUGUUCAACAAUAUAGAUUUGGAAUUGGUCAAAUAAAUUAUGAAUAAAUCUAUGUUAUGG